CUGGGAGACGAAGUGCCGGGGCCGAGAUGUUCAUUGCGGGAGAAACGCGCCAGUUCGAUGUCAUUUGGGUUCCUGCUACAUCCAGGCCACCCGUGUUUUUUGCUCGAAAUGAGACAGACUGAACUUGUCAGCCCUUGGUGCAGCACUAAGAAAAGCAGCUCUGAGAGCCGCGGUUGGUAGCCGGCCUGGAUGCCCUCCCUGAUGAACUGAUGCUUUUAGAGACAGAUCUUGACCAAAAGGGAGAAAUGUGAAAAUUAAUAAAGGAAACCUGAACUAAAAUUGGAAUUGGGAAGACUUCUAGAGGAAGCUCUCAUCCCCUACCACUAGUCAGUUAUCCCAAACAGAAAGGUGCCUUGCAUAUCCAACUGGACGGUGUCACUACUUUACUACCCUCCAAGGAGGAAGGAAAAUGUUCUUCUGCCCAGCAACAAGCCCAACCAAUGGAAAACGCUGCAGCUCAGCCAAUGAAAAGCCAUUGUCACCCUGAACUCUUACUUUCCUCCAAUGAACUUUCAUUCUUCCUUUGCCAAUGACUUCCUUGCCCAACCCUCCUUUCUAUAACAGCCUUCCAUUUUGUAGAACUCCUUGGAGUAUGUCUCUGCUUGAUGAGAUACUGCUUGAUUCAUGAAUGACUUAAUAAAGCCAAUUUAAUCUUCAGAUUUACUUUUUGUUUUUUUAACAGGAGAAACCUUGAAGAAAGGACAAAGGGCAGGAAUAAUUGCAGUAUGUGGUUAUCCCAAUAUUCAGAAGAGGGGGAGCAUGAAGGAAGCCUUGUUAACACUUUUAGGUACAUCCUUGUAGAAAUUUUUAAUGUAUGUAGAUAUAUAUUGCACAUUUGAUGUAAAUACCAAAAUACAUCAUUUUAGGAAAAUGUACACAAGACCACUCUUUUUAAAAAAAAAAAAGAUUUCUGCUAGGAGCGCCUGGGUGGCUCAGUUGGUUAAGCGUCUAACUCUUGAUUUCGGCUCAGGUCAUUAUCUCAGGGUCGUGAGAUUGAGCCCUGUGUCAGUGGCUCUGUACUGGGCAUGCCACAUGUCAGGAAAGCAGCAGAGUUAACUGCUUGUCAGAUCAGGUGAUUUAUCUUUCCCAGUAUAUUAAGCAGGAGGGCACUAAGAACUCAGCCAUGUCAUUAAGUACCCAUCUAUUGUACUAUAGCACAAGUAAAAAUUUUGAGUGGCCUUCCAUAUCUAUCAAGGUUCACAAAGAGAGGAACAGUACCAACAGGUAAUGUGUAUAUAUAAUUUGUUACAGGGAUUUGAUACAAUACUCCCCACUGAAUUUCCAGGGAUUAAAUAUUUCAUCAUUCAAAAACUGUAUUACAGUACUUGCUUUUUAAAGAGUUGAAAAACACCUCAUGGGGUGCCUGGGUGGCUCAGUCAGUUAAGUGUCUGCCUUUGGUUCAGGUCGUGAUCCCAGGGUCCUGGGUCGGGGCUCCCUGCUCAGUGGGGAGUCUGCUUCUCCCUCUGCCCCUGCCCCUGCUCAUGCUCUCUCUCACACACUCUCUCUCAAAUUAAAAAAAAAAAAAAAUCUUUUUUUUUUUUUAAAGAUUUUAUUUAUUUGACAGAGAGAGAGAGAGCAAGAGCAGGAACACAAGCAAGGGGAGUGGGAGAGGGAGAAGCAGGCUUCCCGCGGAGCAGGGAGCCCGAUGCGGGGCUUGAUCCCAGGACCCUGGGAUCAUGACCUGAGCCGAAGGCAGACGCUUAACGACUGAGCAACCCAGACGCCCCCUCAAAUUAAAAAAAAUCUUUUUUUUUUUUUUAAAGAUUUUAUUUAUUUAUUUAUUUGACAGAGAGAGAGAAAGAGCGAGAGCAGGAACACAAGCAGGGGGAGUGGGAGAGGGAGAAGCAGGCUUCCCGCGGAGCAGGGAGCCCGAUGCGGGGCUCGAUCCCGGGACCCUGGGAUCAUGACCUGAGCCGAGGGCAGACGCUUAACGACUGAGCCACCCAGGCGCCCCAAAUUAAAAAAAAUCUUAAAAAAAGAAAAAGAAAGAGUUGAAAAGCACCUCAGAGCACUGGUUUAUCUGUAAUAUUUUGUCCCCAAACAAUGAAAUAGUCAAUAUAUCAAAAUGUCAACAUUUCUUACAUUUAUAGUAUCUGUAAUUUUCUGCACAUUUUAAAUAUUCCGGUUUUUUUUUAAUGGAAGUUACUGAGAAAAAGAGGCAGAGAAGAGCUGCAAGCUGCCCUGCCUCUGGCACAUCUUUUUUUCUUUCCACUCUUUAUUGAGAUAUAAUUGACAUCUUAUGGUCAAUCUUGAUGUAUAUCCUGAUCCAAAUGAAGUUUUCUGACUCUCCUGAGCCCCACAGAAAUGAAGGUAUCUAACUGUACAUAGUUUUGUUUAUAAGCAUCUUUCAUACAUAGUUUAUAAUCAAGCUAAAAGCUCAGAGUGAAAACAGAGAGACCUUAGCUCACUAAUGUCCAAGCCAAGGCUUUUUUCUUGCUUGCCCUGAUGAGGAAAUGGUCAAGGGAUUGCCCAGUAUCACCCAGUCCACCUGCAGUCUUCUGCUAGGCAAAAAAACCAUUUAAGCAAGUAACUAUUAAGCUCAGAGAGGUGCCAUAAUUCCUCUUUGACUUUUUAAUACAAAGUGCGGUUUGAAAUAACUGCAAAGUAAUCCCUGAAGGAACUGAAUCCAAGGGUCCAGCCUCCUGGAGUGAUGACUUACUUCUUGAAGCAUUCAUGCUGCUUCAAAGGUGCAUUUUUCUUUUAUUGGGGCGCCUGGGUGGCUCAGAUGGUUAAGCAUCUGCCUUCGGCUCAGGUCAUGAUCCCAGGGUCCUGGGAUUGAGCCCCGCGUCAGGCUCCCUGCUUAGCAGGGAGCCUGCUCCCCCUGCUCAUGUUCUCUCUCUCUCUAUCUCUGUGUCUUGAAUGAAUAAACAAAAAAACUUAAAAAAAAAUGCAUUUUUCUUUUAUUGACAUAAAAUUGUCAUAUAACAUAUUCAUGUCAGGUGUAUCACAUAAUUCAAUAUUUGCAUAUACUACAAAGUGAUCACAAGUCUAGUUACCAUCUGAUACCAUACAACUGACCUCCUUCACAAAGGUGUAUUUUUCUAUAUUGGUCAAGAAAAUUCUCCAGAUGAGGUUGUGACUGCUGAACCAGCCUUCAUCCAAUCUGGGUUAUCUCAUCCCUCAUCUCUGCCUACUAGAACACCUGGCCUCAAGGAGAAACAUUACAUUUGGACAGGCUCUAUGCUGCUGUUGGACAGUUCAAUUUGCUGUUUUACUUCAUUCUUUACUUCUCUCAAUGGGAAAGAAAGCCAGAAAAGGGGCUUGUUAGCCAACCUGGAAGAUCUCUCUCUUUUGGGUUCAAGAGUGCAGCACUUAAGAAUGAGUGCAUACGAUAGAACCAGAGUGUUUCAGUGUGCCAACAUUUAUACCUGCCAUCUACAGGUGUUCGUGACUCUGUACCUCAGUUCCCUUCCACUAAAUGGUGAUGGUAGUAACAUCUACUGCUGGAUCACUAUGAUGUUAAAUGAAAUUGAGUAUUCAGAACCAGUACAAACCACAGUGAAGGUACAAUACAUGUAAACUAUUGUUAUCCUCAUUGCUAUCUGACAGAUACUAUGGCUUUGAAUAAAAAAGCCUUCUCUGAGCCUUGGGGAUCCUGCCUACCCAUUGGCACUCUCCUGGGGAAGGGGGGAGCAAAGCUUAAUGGGCAAAGUGUUCUUUCAAGGGAUAUUAACUGGAAAAUUUUAAUAGACUCCAGACAAUAACAAACUUCUGUACCAUUUGUUACGGAUGAGUGGCUUCCACAGAAGAGCUCAUGUUUGAAACUUAAAAAUAGUCGUUGAAAGGUAUUAAAUUUGUGAUAAUCUAUUUACAUAAACAACGGGGAAUAAAAAGGCAGGUCAGUCUCUGAGAGGAUACAUCUUGGGAUGAUCUUCACUUGUGAAUUGUUUUUAUUUUUUUAAGAUUUUAAAAAUUUAUUUAUUUGACAAAGAGAGACACAGCGAGAGAGGGAACACAAGCAGGGGGAGUGGGAGAGGGAGAAGCAGGCUUCCCGCUGAGCAGGGAACCCAAAGAGGGGCUCCAUCCCAGGACUCCUGGAUCAUGACCUGAGCUAAAGGCAGCCGCUUAACAACUGAGCCACCCAGGUGCCCUGGCUAAGUCUCUCUUAAUGGACUACAUGAACGUAUCUUCUUGGACCUGGCUUCGCAGUCCCUUAAUUCUGAAGCACUAUUUUGGGGGUAUAAUUUUAGUAUUUGCCUCAGAUUGGAUGCUUGCAUUUUAUCUCCAGAUCCAGACUUUUCUACAGUGUGACCUGUGAUGGAGUCAUUGUGGGCUUUCUUAAGAACACCUACCUGAUUUUUAUAGGACUCAUUUUCUGUAAUUUUGCUUAAUUUUCUCCUUGUACAUUUUCACCUCCCUUGAAAGCUCUUGCUUUUACUUUUCCCAUUUUUCUUUUCUGGAAUCAGCUUCUUCUGACAAGCUGCUCUUUCCUCUACUAUUGUCAUCCACUCAUUCUCUGCCACUAUUCCAAGCAUUUCCUUAAUAUAACCAGUGAUUUUGAAAUAAUAUGCUCUGCUAAACCUGUGAUGAAUGCCUUCAUCUCUUCCUCUGAAGAGAGUCUCCAAAAAUUAA